rnacentral:rRNA from 1 species
CUCCUACGGGAGGCAGCAGUGAGGGAUAUUGGUCAAUGGGGGAAACCCUGAACCAGCAACGCCGCGUAAGGGAAGACGGUUUUCGGAUUGUAAACCUCUGUCCUCUGUGAAGAUAAUGACGGUAGCGGAGGAGGAAGCUCCGGCUAACUACGUGCCAGCAGCCGCGGUAAUACGUAGGUGGCAAGCGUUAUCCGGAUUUAUUGGGUGUAAAGGGCGUGUAUGCGGGAGCGCAAGUCAGAUGUGAAAACUCAGGGCUCAACCCUGAGCCUGCAUUUGAAACUGGGUUUCUUGAGUGCUGGAGAGGG